CCUACGGGAGGCAGCAGUGAGGACUAUUGGGCAAUGGGCGCAAGCCUGACCCAGCAACGCCGCGUGAAGGAAGAAGGCUUUCGGGUUGUAAACUUCUUUUCUCGAGGACGAAAACAGUGACUGUACCUGAGUAAUGCGCCCCGGCUAACUACGUGCCAGCAGCCGCUGUAAUCCGUAGGUGGCAAGCUUUCUCCGGAUUUAUUUGGUUUAAAGGGCGUGUAGGCGGGAUCGCAAUUCAGAUGUGAAAACUCAGGGCUCAACCCUGCGCCUGCAUUUGAAACUGGCUUUCUUGAGUGCUGGAGAGGUAAGCGGAAUUCCGUGUGUAGCGGUGAAAUGCGUAGAUAUACGGAGGAACACCAGUGGCGAAGGCGGAUUGCUGGACAGUAACUGACGCUGAGGCGCGAAAGCGUGGGUAGCAAACAGGAUUAGAUACCCCAGUAGUC
rnacentral:rRNA from 1 species